rnacentral:rRNA from 1 species
CGCACGGGUCAGUAACACGUGGAUAACCUGCCUCCGGGCGGGGGACAACCUGCCGAAAGGCGGGCUAAUACCCCAUAAGACCACGAAAUCUCAGGAUUUUGGGGUCAAAGGUGGCCUCUGCAUGCAAGCUAUCACCUGGAGAGGGGUCCGCGUCCCAUUAGCUCGUUGGUAGGGUAACGGCCUACCAAGGCUGUGAUGGGUAGCUGGUCUGAGAGGAUGAUCAGCCACACUGGAACUGAGACACGGUCCAGACUCCUACGGGAGGCAGCAGUGGGGAAUAUUGCGCAAUGGGGGAAACCCUGACGCAGCGACGCCGCGUGGGUGAUGAAGGCCUUCGGGUCGUAAAGCCCUGUCGUAGGGGAAGAACGGUCUGCAGGCGAAUACCCUGCAGGAUUGACGGUACCCUACAAGAAAGCACCGGCUAACUCCGUGCCAGCAGCCGCGGUAAUAC